rnacentral:rRNA from 1 species
AUUGAACGCUGGCGGCAUGCUUUACACAUGCAAGUCGAACGGUAACAGGGUGCUUGCUCCCGGGUGACGAGUGGCGGACGGGUGAGUAACGUCUGGGAAACUGCCCGAUGGAGGGGGAUAACUACUGGAAACGGUAGCUAAUACCGCAUACCGUCGCAAGACCAAAGUGGGGGACCUUCGGGCCUCACACCAUCGGAUGUGCCCAGAUGGGAUUAGCUAGUAGGUGGGGUAAUGGCUCACCUAGGCGACGAUCCCUAGCUGGUCUGAGAGGAUGACCAGCCACACUGGAACUGAGACACGGUCCAGACUCCUACGGGAGGCAGCAGUGGGGAAUAUUGCACAAUGGGCGCAAGCCUGAUGCAGCCAUGCCGCGUGUAUGAAGAAGGCCUUCGGGUUGUAAAGUACUUUCAGCGGGGAGGAAGGCGGUGAAGUUAAUAGCUUCACCGAUUGACGUUACCCGCAGAAGAAGCACCGGCUAACUCCGUGCCAGCCGCCGCCGUAA